rnacentral:rRNA from 1 species
UACGUAGGCAGCGAGCGUUGCUCGGAGUUACUGGGCGUAAAGGGCGCGUAAGCGGCCACCUAAGUCAGACGUGAAAUCCCUCGGCUCAACCGGGGAACUGCGUCUGAUACUGGGUGGCUUGAAUUCGGGAGAGGAAUGCGGAAUUCCAGGUGUAGCGGUGAAAUGCGUAGAUAUCUGGAGGAACACCGGUGGCGAAGGCGGCAUUCUGGACCGACAUUGACGCUGAGGCGCGAAAGCCAGGGGAGCAAACGGG